GCCCAGCCCAGCCCAAGCACCUGCACGCACCAAGCACUCCUAAAGGACUGGAUCUUCGCUGACCUGUCGCCAGCCUUCAAUAUUUGGACCCCUGCUGCUCAGCCACAAAUGCAGGACUAAGUGAACGAGAAGAUCCCUCCCUCGGGUCCCCUCAGAGCAGCGGCUUUUUUGAAUAUGAAGAAAUCUCUGCUGAGUCAGAAGCGUAGGGACACAGAGCUGAGCUGAGCGUGACUCAGCCCCAGGCUCAGCUCUGAGGUUCCUCCCAGAAUGUGCCCUUUUUUGGCCCCAGGCAGGGUUUCCCUCAUCUCUCUUAGGAGUGCUCACGGGCAGAGCAACAAACGGCCUCAGACACUCAGACAGGCACUACAAUUCUCCGGUUCGCUCUCCAGAAGGACUGGGUGCAAGGAAUGUCUCAUUCUCCAAGACUUCAGAUCCUACCGGGAAGGAAGAGGCACCAGCUGUCCUCCAGCAGCUGUGCCUGAGAAGCCACUCUAACAGUGUAAUGAACGGAUAGCCCAACUGUAAAGGUGGCAACGACGGCAAGACAUGGCUCACUGGACAACGUGGGGAUCUAAUGACUGAAUCCGUGCCAAACAUUUGAGAAGGAGAGAUGGACUCCCCAGCCGCUCCAGCCAGUGACAGCGCAGAGAGAGUCAAGUGGCAAGUCACUGGUCUAGAACGCCUCUGAAGUUCCAUCCAACCCUUGUUUCUGCAUUGCAGACCUCAAAUCAUGAAGCAUUCUGGCCUGCAUGUGUGUAUAUGCACCACACGCAUGCUUGGUACCUGAAGAAAUCAGAAGAGGGCACUGGAUUCCUGAAACUGGAGUUGCAAGUGGUUGCAGGCCGUCACAUGGAUCCUGGGAACCAAGCCCAGGUCCUCUGCAAGAGCAACAAGCGCUCUUAACCUUUGAGCCAUCUCUCCAGCCUGUGAUCUAGAUUUUAAAUGCCUGCCAAAGGCCUAUAGGCUAAAGGCUAGAUGCCAGCCUGCAGCACUAUGAGAAAAACCUGGGAACUUUUAGGAGACGGGCACAGUAGGAGAAAAUGUGAUGUGGUUGUUCGACUGAGAAACAUCCCUGUAUCAGUCAAUGUUGUGUCGCUGUGAAGAGCUGUCAUGAACGGCAACUCUUAUAAAAGGAAGUAUUUAAUCGGGGCUUGCUUACGUCCAGAGGUGUUACUGAGAAGGGGGUGAGGACACGAGGCAAAUAAACCCAAGCUAACUCCAAAA